UACGUAGGGGGCAAGCGUUGUCCGGAAUCAUUGGGCGUAAAGAGCGUGUAGGUGGCUCGGUAAGUCCGCUGUGAAAGUCCAGGGCUCAACCCUGGAAAGCCGGUGGAAACUGUCGAGCUCGAGUCCGGAAGAGGCGAGUGGAAUUCCUGGUGUAGCGGUGAAAUGCGCAGAUAUCAGGAGGAACACCAAUGGCGAAGGCAGCUCGCUGGGACGGUACUGACACUGAGACGCGAAAGCGUGGGGAGC
rnacentral:rRNA from 1 species